GAUGAACGCUGGCGGCGUGCCUAAUACAUGCAAGUCGAGCGAACGGACGAGAAGCUUGCUUCUCUGAUGUUAGCGGCGGACGGGUGAGUAACACGUGGAUAACCUACCUAUAAGACUGGGGUAACUUCGGGAAACCGGAGCUAAUACCGGAUAAUAUUUUGAACCGCAUGGUUCAAAAGUGAAAGACGGUCUUGCUGUCACUUAUAGAUGGAUCCGCGCUGCAUUAGCUAGUUGGUAAGGUAACGGCUUACCAAGGCAACGAUGCAUAGCCGACCUGAGAGGGUGAUCGGCCACACUGGAACUGAGACACGGUCCAGACUCCUACGGGAGGCAGCAGUAGGGAAUCUUCCGCAAUGGGCGAAAGCCUGACGGAGCAACGCCGCGUGAGUGAUGAAGGUCUUCGGAUCGUAAAACUCUGUUAUUAGGGAAGAACAUAUGUGUAAGUAACUGCGCACAUCUUGACGGUACCUAAUCAGAAAGCCACGGCUAACUACGUG
rnacentral:rRNA from 1 species